rnacentral:ncRNA from 1 species
GAAGUGCGAACCAAGCGUGCGCCCCGGCGCUGUAAGACUUGGAGCGGACGAGCGCAAGCACGUCCUACA